UUUUGCAGCCAUACCACUUUAGGCUAAGAUCUCAGAAGCUAGAACAGUUGGGUCUUGUUAGUACCUGGAUGGGAUAACACUAAGGACUGGCCAGGAUCAGUGCUGAAC
rnacentral:rRNA from 1 species